CAAAUAAAUCGGCGAUGCAAUGACCCCAAAUAACGUAAAACUCGGAGUUAAUUAGUGUGUUUAAAAAACCGACAAGGUGACCAAGCGGACUUUAAUCGCAUUAGAUUUGAGACUUUCGUCAUUGUUUUAAUCGACCUUUGUCGAUAUGGAAAUUUCGCCACGUACUACUUUUUAACACGUGGAAUCGGCAAUAAUGCUGAGCAUUACCGAUUUCAAUUACUUCGCAGAAUAAUAAAAGGAUGAUUAAUGGGCGAAAAUGCGAAAAAUUGAUCACGGUUUAUUGACGCCUUGUAAACACUGUGAGGCGGGUUUACCUGGGAAAGGCAUCGAAAAACCAGGUCCUCUUGGUAUUGGGGAAGGCCACUCUCAUUCCAGACAUCAGAGGCGAAUGCAGGAUGACAGCCCCAACCUCGUACCUGGCGGCAAGGUCCACAGUCGGGACCGUGCCGAUGCUUUGACCGUAAAGGAUGAUGUUUUCGGGGCUGAUCCCGUACCGGGUGCGCAGCGCCUGCCAGGCCGCGUCGAUGUCGGCGUAGAGGUUCUUCUCGGAGGGCUUCCCGGCACUGACCCCAUA